ACAUCAGGACUAAAACCACAGGCGCACAGACCUCCAUCUCCAGUGCCCAGCUGUGUGUCCAUGAAGAGUGAUAGGUCCAUGGAUUAUCCUCCCAAAUUCAGCAAUG